CCUACGGGAGGCAGCAGUGGGGAAUAUUGGUCAAUGGGCGCAAGCCUGACCCAGCAAUGCCGCGUGAAGGAAGAAGGCUUUCGGGUUUUAAACUUCUUUGACAGUGGGAGAGCAGAGGACUGUACCCUGAAAACAAGCCGCAGCUAACUACGUGCCAGCAGCCGCGGUAGUACGUAGGUGGCAAGCGUUGUCCGGAUUUACUGGGUGUAAAGGGCGUGUAGCCGGGAUGGUAAGUCAGAUGUGAAAGCUGGAGGCUCAACCUACAAAUUGCAGUUGACACUGUUUUUCUUGAGUACUGUAGAGGCAGACGGAAUUCCUUGUGUAGCGGUGAAAUGCGUAGAUAUAAGGAGGAACACCAGUGGCGAAGGCGGUCUGCUGGACAGUAACUGACGGUGAGGCGCGAAAGCGUGGGGAGCAAACAGGAUUAGAUACCCGGGUAGUC
rnacentral:rRNA from 1 species